GUUCAGGUCUGUUUCAGACUACGUCUGCCUGUCUGUCCAGGUCUGUUUUAGGCUGUGUCUGUCUGUCUGUCUGGGUCUGUUUCAGGCUGUGUCUGUCUGUCUGUCCGGGUCUGUUUCAGGCUGUGUCUGUCUGUCUGUCCGGGUCUGUUUCAGGCUGUGUCUGGGUCUGUUUCAGGCUGUCUGUCUGUCUGUCUGGGUCUGUUUCAGGCUGUGUCUGUCUGUCCGGGUCUGUUUCAGGCUGUGUCUGUCUGUCCAGGUCUGUUUCAGGCUGUAUGUGUGUCUGCUCUUU
rnacentral:lncRNA from 1 species